GCUUGUCUCAAAGAUUAAGCCAUGCACGUCUAAGUAUAAAUGACUUUAUACUGUGAAACUGCGGAAGGCUCAUUAUACCAGUUAUAAUUAAUUUGAUGGUCUUGCGAUUUUAAUCGAUUGCUACAUGGAUAACCGUAGUAAUUCUAGAGCUAAUACAUGCACAAAAGGUCUGACUUGGGGGGAGCAGGUUUCGGCCUGUUCUUUUCGGGAAGGGCUGUAUUUAUUAGAUACAAAAACCAACUUUUUUUUCCCCUUCACGGGGGAGAGAAAAAAAAAGCUUGGUGAUUCAUAAUAACUGUUCGAAUCGCACAUUGGUUGCCUCCGAGCAACUGGCGAUAGUUCAUUCAAAUUUCUGCCCUAUCAGCUUUCGACGGUAGUGUUUUGGACUACCGUGGCUCUAACGGGUAACGGGGAAUUAGGGUUCGAUUCCGGAGAGGGAGCCUGAGAAAUGGCUACCACUUCCAAGGAAGGCAGCAGG
rnacentral:rRNA from 1 species